rnacentral:rRNA from 13 species
CCCUUACGAGUAGGGCUACACACGUGCUACAAUGGCGAGUACAGAGGGAAGCGAGACAGUGAUGUGGAGCGGACCCCUUAAAGCUCGUCGUAGUCCGGAUCGGAGUCUGCAACUCGACUCCGUGAAGUCGGAAUCGCUAGUAAUCGCAGGUCAGCAUACUGCGGUGAAUACGUUCCCGGGCCUUGUA